rnacentral:tRNA from 1 species
GCCGGGAUAGCUCAGGGGUAGAGCAACUGAUUCGUAAUCAGUAGGUCGGGGGUUCAAUUCCCCCUCCCGGCU